rnacentral:rRNA from 1 species
AACGCUAGCUACAGGCUUAACACAUGCAAGUCGAGGGGUAGCAGGAUCUAGCAAUAGAUUGCUGACGACCGGCGCACGGGUGAGUAACACGUAUCCAACCUUCCGUUUACUCGGGGAUAGCCUUUCGAAAGAAAGAUUAAUACCCGAUAGUAUGCUUUUCCCGCAUGGGGGAAUCAUUAAAGUUUUUCGGUAAUCGAUGGGGAUGCGUUCCAUUAGGCAGUUGGUGAGGUAACGGCUCACCAAACCUUCGAUGGAUAGGGGUUCUGAGAGGAAGGUCCCCCACAUUGGAACUGAGACACGGUCCAAACUCCUACGGGAGGCAGCAGUGAGGAAUAUUGGUCAAUGGAUGAGAAUCUGAACCAGCCAAGUAGCGUGAAGGAAGACGGCCCUAUGGGUUGUAAACUUCUUUUAUAAGGGAAUAAAGUGAUCUACGUGUAGAUUAUUGUAUGUACCUUAGGAAUAAGCAUCGGCUAACUCCGUGCCAGCAGCCGCGGUAAUACGGAGGAUGCGAGUGUUAUCCGGAUUUAUUGGGUUUAAAGGGUGCGUAGGCGGAAGAAAAAGUCAGUUGUGAAAGUUCGGUGCUCAACGCCGUAAUUGCAGUUGAAACUGUUCUUCUUGAGUGUACAUAAGGUAGGCGGAAUUCGUGGUGUAGCGGUGAAAUGCUUAGAUAUCACGAAGAACUCCGAUUG